GGUCAAGAAAAAUUUGUUCAUAUAGGAGGCUGACACCAUUGUUUGACCUCAUCAGUUGGGAUAAUACAGCUGAGAAAAGGACAGAGGGACCAACAAGCCACAUUCAUGUCCUGGAGUUUGUAGGGGACCUUCCACCAGAGCUGUCAUCAGAUUUCAGCGAAGUAUUUAAGCUCCUUUACCUAAACCAUGUGAGGUGGCAUUUAAGUGCUAUUUUAGAAAGCCAAAGGACUGAGCUUCCCAGCAGUAGCUAUAAAACAUCCCCUCUUGAGUUGUAAUAACAGAGAGACAAUGGAGUAAUGGUGACUCAUGAUGAGUGAAGGAAUCAGUCGGCUCCAACGAGGUCCUUUGAAGAAACUGUACAAGACUGGAAACAUCUUUUCUGGGGAUACGUUUAUGCCAGGGAAUAGGAACAGUGACCUGCCAAGUCCUUGCCUCAAAGGGAAAUUUGGGAACUGGACUGUGAUUAGUUGGAUUUUUUUAACAUCCAUGAAAAGAAGUGGGAUUGUCACAUGGCAAUGUUUAAGAAUCUGAGUAUGAUAAAAGAGCUCAUGAUAAAGGACGUUCAUCAAGGAGGGACAGUUGUCCUGCAAGUGAACCCUGAUCGAAUCAGAUUCUCCCCUCUCUAUAAAGAGAUAGGAAAGGAGGUCUCCAUGCAAGGACCGCCUGCUUUGGCAUUCAUGAGACCGGAUGUGCGAGAAGAAAAAAGUGGCCAGAGACUGCUGGUUGAAACAGAUUUGAAAAGUGUACCAACACCAUGAAAAAUAAACUUGCAGCUCAGCCCAAAGUACCCCCAUCAUUAGGCUUUUGCCCUCAACAUCUCCCCUUUCAAUUUAAGUCCAGGAAAUAGAUUUGGAGCCUGAUCAAACCAUGCUCAGCUCUGCCAUCCUUCUCUCUGAAUUAUAAACAUGCGAUUAUUACAGCGCAUUUCCUGCAUGUGCCUUACAUGUGGCUCUGAUCUCUCUCCCUCACAAAUGUUGCAAGUAAACACGCCCCAAAUGCAAUAUUGAAGUGUCACCCAGAUGGUGCCGUCAGCAGGCCUGGGAUAAUGUAUACACUGUGAGCGCAGCCUAGGGAAAGUGUGAGUGAAUAGCCAGAAAGGGGGUGUGUCUCCUGUUCAGUGGCAGAGCAAUCACUGCUCUCUAGCUGCCUGCUCUGGGGGCUUCAUUGGCAUGUAGCAGUUACAUAUCAAGCUUGGUAGUUCUAUUUUAAAAAGGAAAAAAAAUACAUUUCAAUUAUCUUAUUCUUGGAAAAACCACAACCUUCUCCCCUCCCCCCAUGUAGAGCCUCUGCAUUUCUAUUCUCAGUUAUUUAUUUCUGUUUUGGAAAAUGACCCAAUUCCUGCCUAUUCCUCCAUCUCUCCCGCUACUUUUGUAGGUCUUCUUUGAGUGGCAAUUCAUCUCUCUGCAAGUAAGUUUGGAGCAGGAUCUUAAAUUUGUUAGGGACUCCAGACUUAAGGCUCAAAAUACCUUUAGGUGCACAAAUUGCUAACUUUGUUAUUAUUUUUUAGUUUUUUCCCCCCUCCCCCCCCCCCCAAUCUCCUAUGAAAGGAACUGCUUACAAACUCCCGACCAUGAGCUUAGAGGCCAGGGGUUCCAUUUCCAUUGAGAUUUGCAGCUGAACAGUUUCAAAAUGAAUUUGAUUGUGUCCUUAACCAUUUAACUUUCCCUUACCCCCAAACUUUCCCUUCUCCUUAACUUCCCCUUUCUGAGGAUGACAAUACAACUCUCUCAGGUGUCCAGGUUCUACACUUAUGACUCAUUUUUUUCAACUUUCCCUUUUUGUUCAUCCCAGCCAGGAGAACCAGGAGAUCAUUAUACAUGACAACAGGAAGAUUAUAUGAUGAUCAAUUCUGAUGGAUGUGGCUCUCUUCCACAAUGAGAUGAUUCAGACCAGUUCCAAUGAUCUUGUGAAAGAGAGUCAUCUGCAUCUAGAGAGAGGACUCUGGGAACCAAGCGUGGGUCACAACAUAGUAUUUUCACUCUUUUUAUUGUUGUUUUCUUGCUUUUUGUUUUCUCUCUCAUUUUUCCCCCUUUUGAUCUGGGAUUCUAAUUUCCAGACUUCUUAUAUCAUGCUUUCCUUUUCUCUCAUUGUUCACACCUGAGUUCAAAACCUUAACAUUUUUCCACUUUAGAGCAGUGGUGUCUCAGAAUACCAAGCUUUUAAAUUGGUGAUAUGCAAAUAUGUAUGAUUUCAAAAUCCAUCCCAGCACAUUCUUUUACAAUCACUGGACUAUUGUAAAAAAAAUUCUAAGUGAUCUUUGCACCUCAAAGCUUUCCUCUUUCCAACUUGUUCUAUAUAUUUAUUAUCUGUUUAAUGCACUGUUCUGAUCCACUACCAUCAAAAAACCUUAAAUAAACCCCCACUGCUUGAGAAUUAAAAUAUUAACUCCUUAUCUUGGCAUUCAAGACCCUCCAAAAAGUGGCUCUAAUCCACCAUUCCAGUCUGCCUCACAUCAUUACCUUUCAUGUACUCUGUAUUGCAGAGAAACUGGACUACCAAGCAUUUUCAUAUCCUAACUCCCAUGCCUGAGCUCUUGCCGUCCCUUCAUCCACAUAGGAUACAUAUGUUGCCUGCAUAGAUUGAGUGUAUGCCCAUAUGAGUUUUUUUUCAGUGUAGUUUGUGGGGCAACAUAAGAAUGAUUCUCUUUUGGAAUCUUACCUGCCAUCUCCAAGGGCAGCUUUAGUUCCUUGACUGAAGAGUAGCAGAAGAAGGGACCAAGAGGCUGGACACUAGAAUUGUGUUUAUCUGUUCCCCUAAAAUAUUGUUGGUCUAUGGUAAUUUUUUUUGGUCUUUGGUUCUCCUGGUUACUCUUCCUUAAAGAGAAUGGGGUACUCUAAGUUUAUAUCUGAAAACUACUCCUUCCCACAAAAUACUAAAUAUAUACCACUAUCAUAAACAGUAAGUAAUGAGUAAUACAUUUUUGGAAGAAAAUAGUAGAAAUUAGAGAAGUUAUAUAAAUUAGAAUAUACUACAUGAAUGAGAGAGAAACCCCAAUCUCACUCAAGGGGUUAGUCCCUGAAAUUUCUGGGGAGAAAAAUUGGAAAUUAGGGACAUAUUGAUCUACCACGUGCUUUAGCUAUCUGCAGCUUCUUAAAGUCUUUUCUCUCUUUUUUUAAUAGUCAAUCCUAAGGCAAGUCUAGAACCACAAGUGUCUGCUUUUGGAACAGAAAGGAAAAAACUGUCUCCUCUCCCAAGCUUUUGAGCCAAUUUUGUUUUUUUAUGCAAUCACAUAGUGUUCUCUCUGCCAAUGAGGAGAAUCUUGUGCAAAUAUUUCAAGCUUGAGACUUGAAUUACACUUAAAAGGACAUCCCCAACAGCUCUAUUUGUAGACAUCUUUACCUUUCUUCAAGGUCCAGUUCAAAAGCCAAUUCUUCCAUGGAGCCUUUCCCCAAAUCCUCCCAUUUCCUGUUCAAAUAAAUCUCUCCUUCAUAAUUUUUAUAAUAUUUUGCCCAGGCCUCUUUUUUGAACUCAUCAUUUCCUCUUUAAUCCCUUAGUUACUUGUUGAGGCAAACUUCUAGUCAAUGAAAAAUCUUUAUUUGUUUAUAAACCUCUUGAGAGUAAGAUUUUUUUUCAGUAAUUCUUUUUUUUAAUUAAAGCUUUUUAUUUUCAAAAUAAAUGCAUGUAUAAUUUUUCAACAUUCACCCUUGCAAAACUUUGUGUUCCAAAUUUUUUUCCCUUCUUUGUCCCGACUCCUUUCCAAGAUGGCAAAUAAUCCAAUAUAUAUGUUAAACAUGUGCAAUUCUUCUAUACAUAUUUCUACAAAUAUCAUACUGCACAAGAAAAAUCAGAAUCAAAAAGGAAAAAAUAAGAAAGAAAACAAAAAUCAAGCAAACAACAAUAAAAAAGGUGAAAAUACUAUAUUGUAAUCCAUACUCAGAUCCCACAGAUUUCUCUCUGUGUGUAGAUGGCUCUCUUUCACAAGACCAUUACAA